rnacentral:rRNA from 1 species
UACAGAGGUGGCAAGCGUUAAUCGGAAUUACUGGGCGUAAAGCGUGCGCAGGCGGUUUUGUAAGUCUGUCGUGAAAGCCCCGGGCUCAACCUGGGAAUUGCGAUGGAGACUGCAAGGCUUGAAUCUGGCAGAGGGGGGUAGAAUUCCACGUGUAGCAGUGAAAUGCGUAGAGAUGUGGAGGAACACCGAUGGCGAAGGCAGCCCCCUGGGUCAAGAUUGACGCUCAUGCACGAAAGCGUGGGGAGCAAACAGG